rnacentral:rRNA from 1 species
UGGGGAAUCUUGGACAAUGGGGGCAACCCUGAUCCAGCGAUGCCGCGUGAGCGAAGAAGGCCUUAGGGUUGUAAAGCUCUUUCGCCCGCGACGAUGAUGACGGUAGCGGGAGAAGAAGCCCCGGCUAACUCUGUGCCAGCAGCCGCGGUAAUACGGAGGGGGCUAGCGUUGUCCGGAAUUACUGGGCGUAAAGCGCGCGUAGGCGGUCCACCAAGUCGGGGGUGAAAGCCCGGGGCUCAACCCCGGAAUGUCCUCCGAGACUGUUGGACUGGAGUUCGGGAGAGGAGAGCGGAAUUCCCAGUGUAGAGGUGAAAUUCGUAGAUAUUGGGAAGAACACCGGUGGCGAAGGCGGCUCUCUGGCCCGCAACUGACGCUGAGGCGCGAAAGCGUGGGGAGCAAACA